rnacentral:rRNA from 1 species
UACGUAGGGGGCUAGCGUUAUCCGGAUUUACUGGGCGUAAAGGGUGCGUAGGUGGUUUCUUAAGUCAGAGGUGAAAGGCUACGGCUCAACCGUAGUAAGCCUUUGAAACUGGGAAACUUGAGUGCAGGAGAGGAGAGUGGAAUUCCUAGUAUAGCGGUGAAAUGCGUAGAUAUUAGGAGGAACACCAGUUGCGAAGGCGGCUCUCUGGACUGUAACUGACACUGAGGCACGAAAGCGUGGGGAGCAAACAGGAUUAGAUACCCCCGUAGUCCCUGAGCGGGCU